GUCCCCGAGGAAAAGGUCCCGGAGGCCGUCCCCGAGGAAAAGGUCCCGGAGGCCGUCUCCAAGGAAAAGGUCCCGGAGGCCGUCUCCAAGGAAAAGGUCCCGGAGGCCGUCUCCAAGGAAAAGGUCCCGGAGGCCGUCCCCGAGGAAAAGGUCCCGGAGGCCGUCCCCGAGGAAAAGGUCCCGGACGCCGUCCCCGAGGAAAAGGUCCCGGAGACCGUCUCCAAGGAAAAGGUCCCGGAGGCCGUCCCCGAGGAAAAGGUCCCGGAGGCCGUCCCCGAGGAAAAGGUCCCGGAGGC